CAACAAAAUAGAACCGCGGUCCUAUUCCAUUAUUCCUAGCUGCGGUAUCCAGGCGGCUCGGGCCUGCUUUGAACACUCUAAUUUUUUCAAAGUAAACGCUUCGGGCCCCGCGGGACACUCAGCUAAGAGCAUCGAGGGGGCGCCGAGAGGCAAGGGGCGGGGACGGGCGGUGACUCGCCUCGCGGCGGACCGCCCGCCCGCUCCCAAGAUCCAACUACGAGCUUUUUAACUGCAGCAACUUUAAUAUACGCUAUUGGAGCUGGAAUUACCGCGGCUGCUGGCACCAGACUUGCCCUCCAAUGGAUCCUCGUUAAAGGAUUUAAAGUGGACUCAUUCCAAUUACAGGGCCUCGAAAGAGUCCUGUAUUGUUAUUUUUCGUCACUACCUCCCCGGGUCGGGAGUGGGUAAUUUGCGCGCCUGCUGCCUUCCUUGGAUGUGGUAGCCGUUUCUCAGGCUCCCUCUCCGGAAUCGAACCCUGAUUCCCCGUCACCCGUGGUCACCAUGGUAGGCACGGCGACUACCAUCGAAAGUUGAUAGGGCAGACGUUCGAAUGGGUCGUCGCCGCCACGGGGGCGUGCGAUCGGCCCGAGGUUAUCUAGAUAGGAGAGGAGCGAGCGACCAAAGGAACCAUAACUGAUUUAAUGAGCCAUUCGCAGUUUCACUGUACCGGCCGUGCGUACUUAGACAUGCAUGGCUUAAUCUUUGAGACAAGCAUAUGCUACUGGCAGGAUCAACCAGGUAAGGGAGCGCGAGCGAAGCCGUCGGGGGUGGGACAGGACCAGGCGGGACAGAGAGCGCGAGAGAGGAGGAGGCGGCGGCGGAGAGCCUCGCGGGAGGACAAACCGGGGGUGAGCCGGGCGGGCGCUCGCGCGGAACGGGAGAGUGCAUGCGGCCAGACCGACCCUGUCGGGGUCCGACAAAACCCGUCCGCGAGCACACGCACGCGGCAAAGCCAACCCGAGCGUUGCCCCGGGACAGCUCUCCGACACCUCUCUUAUCCGCUCUCCCCUCCGUCCCCGGCACAAAUCCCGAACCCCUCGGCAUCGGGAGAGCCGGAACGUCGACCGCACCGGGCGCGGAGCACAGGGCGGUGGGUUGGCGUGGGGGUUGGCGGAAAGAGAAGCGCGACACCGGCGAGACAGUCAAACCACGCGGGAGGGAAUGACCGGUAGCACCAUUCACUCCCCACACCAACGACCACCACCGGGACGGGCAGGCGGGGGACGGCGGGGGCGCAACGUCGGGGAACCGGGAAGCCCCCUGACCCUCCGGGCGAAGCCAGGAGUCCGCGAAGCCGGCGAGAGAAGACCACGCCAGCGGGGGUCGGGGCCGAGAGCCCGCGCGGAGAAGGCCUGAGACCUCGGGGAGAGGGAGGUAGACAUCGACCGGAGCCCCCACCGCCACACCGGGACACGCGCGCGGGGUUAAUCCCACCGCCAGGGUACCCACCUCGGCACUCCGGCAGGCCCCAACACGCGCCUUCCCGAAGGACGACAGGGCCGGACGAGCCCCCAAGACUCACCUCGGCCAACAGACCACCACACCGUCGGGACAAUGACCACUGCUAGCCUCUUUCCCUUUGCCCUCGCGGGGCAACCUUUUCCCCUCGCACGCAGCCCUCUCCAAGACCGCGCAAGACACCGCCACGGCCGCGGGGCCGGGACGCCCUCCAAACCACAGCUCCUCCCACCCGCCGAGCCGACUUUCUACCCCUCGGCCCCCCCAAGACCCCGGUGACCGCCCGGACGCGUACGUGCCCGGCCGCCCCCCAUGCGGGGGUCCGACAGCACGGCCACGGGUCAGUCAGAGGAGAGGGGGAGAGAGAGGAAAAAAAGACCGGCUGCGGCGAGCGGGGAGGAGGGAACGACACAGCAGAACGAGGGCCGGCGACGACGGCAAGGGCGGCCGAAACGGGCCCCUCCCGGAAGGGGGUCCUCACAAGGGACCGAGAGACCGCUCGGGCGUCGGACCGGUCAGGGCACGCGAGGCAAAACCGGCGGGAAUCACACUGCACCACUCCCCUGAGCAGUCCCACCACACCUGCAGCGCCGAGGCGACCCGAAACACGACGGCCCCCCGGGAGCCCGAGGAGGCGACACCGACACGAGAGAGAGACCGAUGCCGACACACCGAUGCCUACCGACGAAGACCCCCGAGCGGCAGUGGGUCCCCACGUCCGACGUCGCGCCGGACGCGGCCAACAGCCGUUCUCCCACAGAACGGUCCCGUCCCCGAGAGCGAGAUCAAUCAACGCCAGACACGGACCCUCUCGACCCCGAAGAGGGGAAGGAGGACUCCCGCGACUUCGCCAGCCGUGGGAACGCUGCCGCGGGAAGGGGGGGCGAGGCGACACAACCACACAGCCCGAGAAGCACACAGCACCCACCACGCGCGGCGCAGGCCCGCGUCGCGGGAGCGGCCAAAGUCGUGGACGCGAGCGAGAGGGACGCACGCGACGGAAGGCACGGGUGAGGCACGGGAAGACGGGUGGGGACCCGGGAGCCCACCGUUGCCUACCCACACCCCGUCCCGCACGGCGGCCCUCAGGAGGGGAGGAAAGUACCGCGCACGCGGGGGUGUGCACGGAGCCCUCUCCCCAGCCACCACCACACAACCGGAGCCACAUGGCUCCGCAGCAACGGCAGGACGACAGACAGGCUCUGCCCCGCGUGAUCCCUCCCCGAACUCGGAGCGGGGAGGCGCUGGCCGUGGUAGACGAGAGAGCAAACGCUGCGCGCACGGGAGGCGGUCAGGGGGCGAGCCCUCGAGGGGACCAUUCGGGAGAGACCCCUCAAGACCGUAAGAAGCCCGCACCCUUUCCGGAAGAUAGCUAGAGAAGGAAACUUUCUCACUGAGGGCGGGACGGACCCAAAACCCCGACGAGCCCCGGCCACCAAGAGAGGAUGCAUGCGAGGAGCACACAGGGAAACCAGAAGACCAACACGCGGGCGACCGCGCGGGGGGUCUGCGGCAACAGGAAGGUUCUCUUCCAAGGGCAUUCUGAGCAUCCGCGGACAGGGGAGACCCUGCAACCGGUCCCCCCCGAAAGCCAGGCCUCUCAAAGCUCCCCACGGGAAAGCAAUGAGUCUCUCGAGAAACUUUCCAAGGCCAGCCGCGACCGCUCAGCACCAGCCCUACGCACAGGCGCACAGGCGUACUAGUGCGCGGGGUGGGCGCUCACCCGACGAAGAAGGGGGGUCUUGCCCCUCCUUCUCUCCUCGACCCCCCUCUCACGGGCUUCUCAGACACAAACGGGAAGGCACACAGCCAGACGGAGCACCGGAGGCACACCAGGGAAUGGGAAGCGCCACCACCAGCUCAGAAGCAGGCACCUAGGAGACAAACCUGGAACGCUCCAGGAGCACCUCGACGCUUACAAGAAACAGCGCGUGCACACACCAGACGGGAAGGGUAUGCAACGCCACCGGCCACAUCCACCGACUCUGGGGACAUGGUCAAGCGAGACACGACCAAAGUGAAACACGUGAGGGCACAACCGGGCGCCUCACACAUCCACAAGGACCACGCGAACCACUGAGAAAAGUGCGCGCGGGGCAGCGCUCGGGCCGGAGAGCCGCACCCCUGCCUUCCACACACCACCGGCAGACGGAUGGGGUGGAGAGACGAGGGGCCCGCUGGCAGAACGAGAAGAGCAGCCGCCAUUCGCCAUGAAUGUCCGUCCCUCGCCUGGCGCGGCUUAGGCCCUGGCCCGAAGAGAACUCCGGAGCACCACAUCGAUCUUC
rnacentral:lncRNA from 1 species